rnacentral:rRNA from 1 species
AUUGAACGCCGGCGGCAUGUUUUACACAUGCAAGUCGAACGGUAACAGGUUAAGCUGACGAGUGGCGAACGGGUGAGUAAUGCAUCGGAACGUGCCCGAUCGUGGGGGAUAACGCAGCGAGAGCUGCGCUAAUACCGCAUACGAUCUGAGGAUGAAAGCGGGGGACCGUAAGGCCUCGCGCGAUCGGAGCGGCCGAUGUCAGAUUAGGUAGUUGGUGGGGUAAAGGCCCACCAAGCCGACGAUCUGUAGCUGGUCUGAGAGGACGACCAGCCACACUGGGACUGAGACACGGCCCAGACUCCUACGGGAGGCAGCAGUGGGGAAUUUUGGACAAUGGGCGAAAGCCUGAUCCAGCAAUGCCGCGUGCAGGAAGAAGGCCUUCGGGUUGUAAACUGCUUUUGUACGGAGCGAAAAGGUCCUUUCUAAUACAGGGGGCUCAUGACGGUACCGUAAGAAUAAGCACCGGCUAACCACGUGCCAGCCGCCGCCGUAA